AGAGUUUGAUCCUGGCUCAGGACGAACGCUGGCGGCGUGCUUAACACAUGCAAGUCUUACGAGAAAAGGGUAGCAAUAUCCUGAGUAAAGUGGCGCACGGGUGAGUAACACGUAGGCAAUUUGCCUUUAGGACGGGAACAACCACGCGAAAGUGUGGCUAAUACCCGAUGAUGCAGCGGCUCCGCAUGGAGACAGUUGUUAAACCCCGCAAGGGGCCUAUUGAUGAGCCUGCGUCUGAUUAGCUAGUUGGUGAGGUAACGGCCCACCAAGGCAACGAUCAGUAGCUGGUCUGAGAGGAUGAUCAGCCACACUGGAACUGAGACACGGUCCAGACUCCUACGGGAGGCAGCAGUGAGGAAUAUUGCGCAAUGGCCGAAAGGCUGACGCAGCGACGCCGCGUGAAGGAUGAAGUUCGUUAGAAUGUAAACUUCUUUUGUAGGGGAUGAAUGUUCCGUUUUACGGAAUGACCGUACCCUGCGAAUAAGAU
rnacentral:rRNA from 1 species